rnacentral:snRNA from 1 species
GGAUGUGAGGGCAAUCUGGCUACAACAUGUGUCACCCCAUUAAUCACCCAGGGUCAGUUCAGCUGAUCUGGCUCAUUGACAGCUGUCCUCUUCCUCCCUCAUCACUCCAUGUGCAUCCCUCCUGAAAUGGUGCCCUGGCUCAAAGAGGACUACCUUCCCAAAUAGAGGACUGGUCUUUGGUCAAGGAUAGCUGCACUCCCCUCCUAGAAUCUCCAAACAAGCUUUCAAAUUCAUGGCCUCUUUUUCCCAUUGUACUCUUAUCAGUAAUUGUUACACACGCACACACACACACACACACACA